rnacentral:sRNA from 1 species
CUGGAGGAUGUAGAUGCUGCUUUCACAGAUACGGACUGUGUGGUGCGGUUUGCAGGUUGAGGCUGAUGAACAGCUUUGCAUACCACCGCUGAACUCCCAAACCUGCCUCCUGGGCUCAGAGGAGAAUUUAGCCCCUUUGGCAGGAGAGAAAGCAGUGCCUCCCGGGAAUGACCCAGUCUCUCCAGCCAUGGUCCGGAGCAGAAACCCUGGGAAAGAUGACUGUGCCAAGGAGGAGAUGGCAGUGGCAGCAGAUGCUGCAGCCUUGGUGGAUGAGCCCGAGUCGAUGGUGAACCUGGCGUUUGUCAAGAAUGACUCGUAUGAGAAGGGCCCGGAUUCAGUGGUGGUGCACGUGUACGUGAAGGAGAUCUGCAGGGACACCUCAAGAGUACUUUUCCGUGAGCAGGACUUCACGCUCAUCUUCCAGACCAGGGAUGGAAACUUCCUGAGGCUGCACCCGGGCUGUGGGCCCCACGCCACCUUCCGUUGGCAGGUGAAGCUCAGGAAUCUGAUUGAGCCAGAGCAGUGCACCUUCUGUUUCACGGCUUCUCGCAUCGACAUCUGCCUUCGUAAGAGGCAGAGUCAGCGCUGGGGGGGCCUGGAGGCCCCAGCUGCACGA